AUAUUAUAUUUUUAUUAUUAGUUACACUAUUUAUCGCGUCUAAAAGUGUAGUGUAUACCAGUCUGGGAGCCGUUUUUCUUGUGGCGAUUUUUAAAAUGAAUUAUCUACAUAAAUAUUGAACCCACUGGGGGUGCAUCACCCCUGGCUUUCCCCCAUGUCAGUCCAGCAAUGUCUGCCUCCACUCCCCCUGUGUUUCCAGACCCAGAGAGUGAAGCAAAGCCAGAAUCAACCACAACACUAGAUAAAUAGCCAUUACUGUGACGAUGGAAUGCUGUCAGCGAGCAGCAUGGAAGACGCAGAGAGAGUGGUGGUCAGGUGGUGGUGGAGACAGGGAGAGUAUGUGGCCUGGAGAUUAACAAACAGAACACCAAUAAUCUUGUGACCUCCAUGCACCCUUCCUAAUGUCAAUAAAGUUGUCUUAUCAU
rnacentral:lncRNA from 1 species